rnacentral:rRNA from 1 species
AGUGAACGCUGGCGGUAGGCCUAACACAUGCAAGUCGAACGGCAGCACAGUAAGAGCUUGCUCUUACGGGUGGCGAGUGGCGGACGGGUGAGGAAUACAUCGGAAUCUACUUUUUCGUGGGGGAUAACGUAGGGAAACUUACGCUAAUACCGCAUACGUCCCACGGGUGAAAGUAGGGGAUCUUCGGACCUUGCGCGAUUGAAUGAGCCGAUGUCGGAUUAGCUAGUUGGCGGGGCAAAGGCCCACCAAGGCGACGAUCCGUAGCUGGUCUGAGAGGAUGAUCAGCCACACUGGAACUGAGACACGGUCCAGACUCCUACGGGAGGCAGCAGUGGGGAAUAUUGGACGAUGGGCGCAAGCCUGAUCCAGCCAUACCGCGUGGAGGAAGAAGGCCUUCGGGUUGUAAAGCCCUUUUGUUGGGAAAGAAAAGCAGCAGGUUAAUACCCCGCUGUUCUGACGGUACCGAAAGAAUAAGCACCGGCUAACUUCGUG